GACGAACGCUGGCGGCGUGCCUAAUACAUGCAAGUAGAACGCACAGUAUAUACCGUAGCUUGCUACACCAUAGACUGUGAGUUGCGAACGGGUGAGUAACGCGUAGGUAACCUGCCUGGUAGCGGGGGAUAACUAUUGGAAACGAUAGCUAAUACCGCAUAAUAUUAAUUAUUGCAUGAUAAUUGAUUGAAAGAUGCAACUGCAUCACUACCAGAUGGACCUGCGUUGUAUUAGCUAGUAGGUGAGGUAACGGCUCACCUAGGCGACGAUACAUAGCCGACCUGAGAGGGUGAUCGGCCACACUGGGACUGAGACACGGCCCAGACUCCUACGGGAGGCAGCAGUAGGGAAUCUUCGGCAAUGGACGAAAGUCUGACCGAGCAACGCCGCGUGAGUGAAGAAGGUUUUCGGAUCGUAAAGCUCUGUUGUAAGAGAAGAACGGGUGUGAGAGUGGAAAGUUCACAACUGGGACGGAU
rnacentral:rRNA from 1 species